AGCAAGUUAAAUGUGCUGUGUUGUUGCUGAUAGAUGAUGUGUUUAUAACUGUGUAAAGUGCUUUUGUGGAAGUAAUAUGUUGCAGUUUUAGUGUAAUAUGAUAGUUAAAAGGCAAACGUGCUUAAGAUGCAGAAAACUCGAGUGGUUGAGAAGCAGCUAUUCAUUGCGGCCUUGUGCUAUGAUGACUUGUGGAGUGGAAAUAUUGUAUAACAUUCAUCAGAAAUAUCAUAAAAAUACUUUCUGAAUUGCUUAAGGAAGUGCUUUUCCAGCCAAACAGCAAAGUGGAUAAGGAGGAGUGGGGAGCAGAAAUGUCUGUACAAAGCAGAAA